UAGCUAGUUGGUGAGGUAAAGGCUUACCAAGGCGACGAUCUGUAGCGGGUCUGAGAGGAUGAUCCGCCACACUGGAACUGAGACACGGUCCAGACUCCUACGGGAGGCAGCAGUGGGGAAUUUUGGACAAUGGGGGCAACCCUGAUCCAGCCAUGCCGCGUGAGUGAAGAAGGCCUUCGGGUUGUAAAGCUCUUUCGGCCGGGAAGAAAUCGCAUGGGCCAAUACCCUGUGUGGAUGACGGUACCGGAAUAAGAAGCACCGGCUAACUACGUGCCAGCAGCCGCGGUAAUACGUAGGGUGCGAGCGUUAAUCGGAAUUACUGGGCGUAAAGCGUGCGCAGGCGGUUUUGUAAGACAGGCGUGAAAUCCCCGGGCUUAACCUGGGAACUGCGUUUGUGACUGCAAGGCUAGAGUACGGCAGAGGGGGGUGGAAUUCCACGUGUAGCAGUGAAAUGCGUAGAGAUGUGGAGGAACACCAAUGGCGAAGGCAGCCCCCUGGGUCGAUACUGACGCUCAUGCACGAAAGCGUGGGUAGCAAACAGGAUUAGAUACCCUGGUAGUCCACGCCCUAAACUAUGUCAACUAGGUGUUGGGUGGGUAAAACCAUUUAGUACCGUAGCUAACGCGUGAAGUUGACCGCCUGGGGAGUACGGCCGCAAGGUUAAAACUCAAAGGAAUUGACGGGGACCCGCACAAGCGGUGGAUGAUGUGGAUUAAUUCGAUGCAACGCGAAAAACCUUACCUACCCUUGACAUGCCAGGAACUUGCCAGAGAUGGCUUGGUGCCCGAGAGGGAGCCUGGACACAGGUGCUGCAUGGCUGUCGUCAGCUCGUGUCGUGAGAUGUUGGGUUAAGUCCCGCAACGAGCGCAACCCUUGUCGUUAAUUGCCAUCAUUUAGUUGGGCACUUUAACGAGACUGCCGGUGACAAACCGGAGGAAGGUGGGGAUGACGUCAAGUCCUCAUGGCCCUUAUGGGUAGGGCUUCACACGUCAUACAAUGGUCGGUACAAAGGGUUGCCAAGCCGCGAGGCGGAGCCAAUCCCAGAAAGCCGAUCGUAGUCCGGAUUGCAGGCUGCAACUCGCCUGCAUGAAGUCGGAAUCGCUAGUAAUCGUGGAUCAGCAUGUCACGGUGAAUACGUUCCCGGGUCUUGUACACACCGCCCGUCACACCAUGGGAGCGGGUUCCGCCAGAAGUAGGUAGCCUAACCGCAAGGGGGGCGCUUACCACGGCGGGGUUCGUGACUGGGGUGAAGUCGUAACAAGGUAGCCGUAGGGGAACCUGCGGCUG
rnacentral:rRNA from 1 species